rnacentral:tRNA from 1 species
GGGCGGCUAGCUCAGUUGGUUUAGAGCAUCUGCCUUACACGCAGAGGGUCAUAGGUUCGAGUCCUAUGCCGCCCA